rnacentral:rRNA from 1 species
UAGUAAUAGUUAUGUUCUUGAAACCCAAAGAAUUUGGCGGUAUUUUAGUCCUUUCAGAGGAAUCUGUCCCGUGAUCGACAGUCCACGAGAUAUUGUACUUAUUUUUGUUUUUCAGUUUGUAUACCUCCGUCAUAAGAAGAUCUUUUUAGAGAUGAAAUUUUCUUAAUAUAUUAAGUAUAGUAUGUCAGGUCAAGGUGCAAUUUAUGAAUAAGUGGAGAUGGAUUACAAUAAAUUUAUUUAAAUGGAUUAGAUUAUUGAUUUUUUUUAUGAAGGUGGAUUUGAUAGUAAUUUUAAUUAUUUGUUAUUAUGAUUUUGGCUCUAAAAUAUGC